CGCUGGCGGCGUGCCUAAUACAUGCAAGUAGAACGCUGAAGCUUGGUGCUUGCACCGAGCGGAUGAGUUGCGAACGGGUGAGUAACGCGUAGGUAACCUGCCUCUUAGCGGGGGAUAACUAUUGGAAACGAUAGCUAAUACCGCAUAAAAGUCGAUAUCGCAUGAUAUUGAUUUGAAAGGUGCAAUUGCAUCACUAAGAGAUGGACCUGCGUUGUAUUAGCUAGUUGGUGAGGUAACGGCUCACCAAGGCGACGAUACAUAGCCGACCUGAGAGGGUGAUCGGCCACACUGGGACUGAGACACGGCCCAGACUCCUACGGGAGGCAGCAGUAGGGAAUCUUCGGCAAUGGACGGAAGUCUGACCGAGCAACGCCGCGUGAGUGAAGAAGGUUUUCGGAUCGUAAAGCUCUGUUGUGAGAGAAGAACGAGUGUGAGAGUGGAAAGUUCACACUGUGACGGUAACUUACCAGAAAGGGACGGCUAACUACGUGCCAGCAGCCGCGGUAAUACGUAGGUCCCGAGCGUUAUCCGGAUUUAUUGGGCGUAAAGCGAGCGCAGGCGGUUAGAUAAGUCUGAAGUUAAAGGCUGUGGCUCAACCAUAGUUCGCUUUGGAAACUGUCAAACUUGAGUGCAGAAGGGGAGAGUGGGAUUCCAUGUGUAGCGGUGAAAUGCGUAGAUAUAUGGAGGAACACCGGUGGCGAAAGCGGCUCUCUGGUCUGUAGCUGACGCUGAGGCUCGAAAGCGUGGGGAGCGAACAGGAUUAGAUACCCUGGUAGUCCACGCCGUAAACGA
rnacentral:rRNA from 1 species